rnacentral:rRNA from 1 species
AGUGAACGCUGGCGGUAGGCCUAACACAUGCAAGUCGAACGGCAGCACAGUAAGAGCUUGCUCUUACGGGUGGCGAGUGGCGGACGGGUGAGGAAUACAUCGGAAUCUACUUUUUCGUGGGGGAUAACGUAGGGAAACUUACGCUAAUACCGCAUACGACCUACGGGUGAAAGCAGGGGAUCUUCGGACCUUGCGCGAUUGAAUGAGCCGAUGUCGGAUUAGCUAGUUGGCGGGGUAAAGGCCCACCAAGGCGACGAUCCGUAGCUGGUCUGAGAGGAUGACCGGCCAAACUGGAAUGGGGAAACGGUCCAGACCCCUAGGGGAGGCAGCAGUGGGGAAUAUUGGACAAGGGGGGAAAGCCUGACCCAGCCAUACCGGGGGGGUGAAGAAGGCCUUGGGGUUGUAAAGCCCUUUUGUUGGGAAAAAAAAGCAGCAGGUUAAACCCCCGCUGUUCUGACGGUACCCAAAGAAAAAGCACCGGCUAACUUGGU